AGAACGAACGCUGGCGGCGUGGAUAAGACAUGCAAGUCGAACGGAUUUCCGAGGGUAGCAAUACCUGAGGGAGUUAGUGGCGCAAGGGUGCGUAACACGUGGGCAAUCUGCCCUGGAGUUUGGGAUAGCCCGCCGAAAGGCGGAUUAAUACCGGAUGUGGCUACUCCAUGAUUAUGGGGGACGCUAAAGGUGGCGCAAGCUGCCGCUCCUGGAUGAGCCCGCGGCCUAUCAGCUAGUUGGUGAGGUAACGGCCCACCAAGGCUUUGACGGGUA
rnacentral:rRNA from 1 species